AAAGCUCUUUUAUGUAGUGUGCGUACCACGAAAGUAGCAGGUACUGCGACACGAAACUGGAGAGCGAGACUC
rnacentral:snoRNA from 1 species